rnacentral:rRNA from 1 species
AUUGAAUGCUGGCGGCGUGCUUAACACAUGCAAGUCGAGCGGUAGCAGGCGUAGCAAUACGUGCUGACGAGCGGCGAACGGGUGAGUAAUGCUUCGGAAUCUUCCUAGUAGUGGGGAACAACCUGGGGAAACUCAGGCUAAUACCGCAUACGACCUACGGGUGAAAGCAGGGGAUCGCAAGACCUUGCGCUAUUAGAUGAGCCGAAGUCGGAUUAGCUAGUUGGUGAGGUAAAGGCUCACCAAGGCGACGAUCCGUAGCUGGUCUGAGAGGACGACCAGCCACACUGGAACUGAGACACGGUCCAGACUCCGACGGGAGGCAGCAGUGGGGAAUAUUGGACAAUGGGGGCAACCCUGAUCCAGCGACGCCGCGUGUGUGAAGAAGGCCUGCGGGUUGUAAAGCACUUUUAGUGGGGACAAAAAGCACAGGGAUAAUACUCUUGUGUCUUGAUGUAACCCAAAGAAAAAGCACCGGCUAACUCUGU